rnacentral:rRNA from 1 species
GGCGAAGGCGGCCUACUGGGCACCAACUGACGCUGAGGCUCGAAAGCAUGGGUAGCAAACAGGAUUAGAUACCCUGGUAGUCCAUGCCGUAAACGAUGAUUACUAGGUGUUGGAGGAUUGACCCCUUCAGUGCCGCAGUUAACACAAUAAGUAAUCCACCUGGGGAGUACGACCGCAAGGUUGAAACUCAAAGAAAUUGACGGGGCCGUCGACGCGGCCG